UACGUAUGGAGCAAGCGUUAUCCGGAUUUACUGGGUGUAAAGGGAGUGUAGGUGGCCAUGCAAGUCAGAAGUGAAAAUCCGGGGCUCAACCCCGGAACUGCUUUUGAAACUGUAAGGCUGGAGUGCAGGAGGGGUGAGUGGAAUUCCUAGUGUAGCGGUGAAAUGCGUAGAUAUUAGGAGGAACACCAGUGGCGAAGGCGGCUCACUGGACUGUAACUGACACUGAGGCUCGAAAGCGUGGGGAGCAAACAGGAUUAGAUACCCCGGUAGGCUGACUGACU
rnacentral:rRNA from 1 species